UUCCGGUUGAUCCUGCCGGAGGCCAUUGCUAUUGGGAUCCGAUUUAGCCAUGCUAGCCGCACGAGUUCAGACUCGUGGCGAAUAGCUCAGUAACACGUGGCCAAACUACCCUUCGGAACACAAUACCCUCGGGAAACUGAGGCUAAUAGUGUAUACCAUACCACCACUGGAAUGAGUGGUAUGCCAAACGCUCCGGCGCCGAAGGAUGUGGCUGCGGCCGAUUAGGUAGACGGUGGGGUAACGGCCCACCGUGCCAAUAAUCGGUAUGGGUCAUGAGAGUGAGAACCCAGAGACGGAAUCUGAGACAAGAUUCCGGGCCCUACGGGGCGCAGCAGGCGCGAAACCUUUACACUGCACGACAGUGCGACAGGGGGAUCCCAAGUGCACAGGCAUAGCGCCUGUGCUUUUCGGUACCGUAAGGUGGUACCAGAAUAAGGGCUGGGCAAGACCGGUGCCAGCCGCCGCGGUAAUACCGGCAGCCCAAGUGAUGGCCGAUCUUAUUGGGCCUAAAGCGUCCGUAGCUGGCCGCGCAAGUCCAUCGGGAAAUCCACCUGCUCAACAGGUGGGCGCCCGGUAGAAACUGCGCGGCUUGGGACCGGAAGGCGCGACGGGUACGUCCGGGGUAGGAGUGAAAUCCCGUAAUCCUGGACGGACCGCCGAUGGCGAAAGCACGUCGCGAGGACGGAUCCGACAGUGAGGGACGAAAGCCAGGGUCUCGAACCGGAUUAGAUACCCGGGUAGUCCUGGCCCGUAAACAAUGUCUGCUAGGUGUGGCUCCCACUACGAGUGGGUGCUGUGCCGUAGGGAAGCCGCUAAGCAGACCGCCUGGGAAGUACGUCCGCAAGGAUGAAACCUAAAGGAAUUGGCGGGGGAGCACUACAACCGGAGGAGCCUGCGGUUUAAUUGGACUCAACGCCGGACAUCUCACCAGCAUCGACUGUGGUAAUGACGAUCAGGUUGAUGACCUUAUCCGAGCCUCAGAGAGGAGGUGCAUGGCCGCCGUCAGCUCGUACCGUGAGGCGUCCUGUUAAGUCAGGCAACGAGCGAGACCCGCACCCUUACUUGCCAGCAGUACCGCGAGGUAGCUGGGGACAGUAGGGGGACCGCCGUGGCUAACACGGAGGAAGGAACGGGCAACGGUAGGUCAGUAUGCCCCGAAUGUGCUGGGCAACACGCGGGCUACAAUGGUCGAGACAAAGGGUUCCAACUCCGAAAGGAGACGGUAAUCUCAGAAACUCGAUCGUAGUUCGGAUUGUGGGCUGCAACUCGCCCACAUGAAGCUGGAUUCGGUAGUAAUCGCGUGUCACAAGCGCGCGGUGAAUACGUCCCUGCUCCUUGCACACACCGCCCGUCAAAGCACCCGAGUGAGGUCCGGAUGAGGCGUUCCACGAACGUCGAAUCUGGGCUUCGCAAGGGGGCUUAAGUCGUAACAAGGUA
rnacentral:rRNA from 1 species